CCUACGGGAGGCAGCAGUGGGGAAUAUUGGACAAUGGGGGCAACCCUGAUCCAGCCAUGCCGCGUGUGUGAAGAAGGCCCUCGGGUUGUAAAGCACUUUCAGUGAGGAAGAACGCCUGGUGGUUAAUACCCAUCAGGAAAGACAUCACUCACAGAAGAAGCACCGGCUAACUCCGUACCAGCAGCCGCGGUAAUACGGAGGGUGCGAGCGUUAAUCGGAAUUACUGGGCGUAAAGCGCGCGUAGGUGGCUUGAUAAGCCGGUUGUGAAAGCCCCGGGCUCAACCUGGGAACGGCAUCCGGAACUGUCAAGCUAGAGUGCAGGAGAGGAAGGUAGAAUUCCCGGUGUAGCGGUGAAAUGCGUAGAGAUUGGGAGGAAUACCAGUGGCGAAGGCGGCCUUCUGGACUGACACUGACACUGAGGUGCGAAAGCGUGGGUAGCAAACAGGAUUAGAUACCCUUGUAGUC
rnacentral:rRNA from 1 species